rnacentral:rRNA from 1 species
GAUGAACGCUGGCGGCGUGCCUAAUACAUGCAAGUCGAGCGAACGGACGAGAAGCUUGCUUCUCUGAUGUUAGCGGCGGACGGGUGAGUAACACGUGGAUAACCUACCUAUAAGACUGGGAUCACUUCGGGAAACCGGAGCUAAUACCGGAUGAUAUUUUGAACCGCAUGGUUCAAAAGUGAAAGACGGUCUUGCUGUCACUUAUAGAUGGAUCCGCGCUGCAUUAGCUAGUUGGUAAGGUAACGGCUUACCAAGGCAACGAUGCAUAGCCGACCUGAGAGGGUGAUCGGCCACACUGGAACUGAGACACGGUCCAGACUCCUACGGGAGGCAGCAGUAGGGAAUCUUCCGCAAUGGGCGAAAGCCUGACGGAGCAACGCCGCGUGAGUGAUGAAGGGCUUCGGAUCGUAAAACUCUGUUAUUAGGGAAGAACAUAUGUGUAAGUAACUGUGCACAUCUUGACGGUACCUAAUCAGAAAGCCACGGCUAACUACGUG